CACCGCGGUUAUACGGAGGACCCAAGCUGAUAGCUAUCGGCGUAAAGCGUGGUUAGGGGCUUCAUUAACUAAAGUCAAACGCCUCCCUUACUGUUAUACGCACUCGGAGGUUGGAGACCCCACUACGAAGGUGACUUUAACACUUUCCCGAACCCACCAAAGCUAAGGUA
rnacentral:rRNA from 2 species